ensembl:lncRNA
UUAUUAAUUUUUUCUUACAGUUAGUCAAACAUUAUAGAAGUUACUUUACCAGGACAUUUUUCUAAUAAUUAUAGAAACAUUAUAGAAGUUACUUUACCUGGCUGUAGAAGAUAAAACUUGAUAUUUUUACCAAAAACACAGAAUCUCUUCGAAGUCACAAUCCACCACAAGAUCAGAUUCCCAUCAUUAUUUUAAGUCUGUUGACUGUUGCGCUGUUUGCUGCAGUGAUAGGUUUAUUAAUGAUGAACCAUAAACUGUCUAAGGAAAUUCCUAAAUAUGCCAAUUUUCAUCAGAUUUCUACAAUGAAGUUUGGUGAGAGUAACAGAGGAAAAACAGAUACUGUAUAUCUAGAGGUGCUGCCAAAUAUUUAGAGGUCCUGUGUGAAACAGUGAUUUGUUGCUGUUUGCUUCAACUGAGCAGAAUUAUGCACUUUUCCUAAACAUGUAAUGAAAUUACUUGCUCUUGUCUGUUCAUAAUAAAACAUGACUUAAAUAUGUCUGCAAUUAAAAUGUCCAUUAAGUUUUAUAAUAGCGUUUGCUUUUGAGUAAUAUGCUUUGUAAUGUUUUUGAUAGUUUUUUAUGUCUUUCUGAGUUGCUAAAAUCUGAUUGUAUUGGGAUGCAGUAACAGUAAAAGUUUAUUCGCUCUCCUGUUUGAUCAUGUGACAGUGAAUGUAAUAUGUGAAUGUAACAAACACACAGCUUUUCAUUUCACAAGACAUUAACUGAUGGACUGGAGUGGUGUGGAUUACUUGUGGAUUAUUAUGAUGAUUUUAUCCAUUAUAUUAGGACUCUCAUUCUGAUGGCACCCAUUCACUUUAAUAGACCUAUUGGUGAGCAAGUGAUGUAAUGCUACAUUUCUCCAAAUCUGUUCUCAUUAAGAAACAAUGAUCUAAAUCUUGGAUGUCCUGAGGGUGAGCACAUUUUCAGCAGUUGUUUAGUUUUGGGUGAACUCUCUCUUUAAAGAGACAUUGUAGGUUGUCCAGUCAUUUUGAGUUCAACUACAACUUCUUGGGAAGGGAGUGGUUUCCUUUUAUUUCUUAAGUCUUGCAGCACUUCCUCUCAGAUUUGCAAGUUAACCAUCUUAUUGUAUACGAAUUAAACAACUGGUGCAGCUUUUACUCUUCAGUAAGUUUUAAGUUCAUGCCCAGAAUAAGACUGAAUAUUGUUUACAGCAGUGUACACACACACACACACACACACAGAGAAGUGGGGAGCCAGUAUUGAAGGAGGAAGAGAGCGCUGUUCAUUCGCCCCACUACACUUCCUGCUGAACCUGAUACUCGAACCCACAAGUUUGACUCGUUAACCAUUAGGCCAUGACUGACCCACAAACAGAAAUAAUCUGAAAUGAAAUAAUCUGAAUGAUCUGUGAUCUGAUUUGAACAACCCCAGACUGACUGACCUGUGUUUUGUUUUAUUAAGUCAAGUUGAUUACUAUUUUUUGUUUAUAUAUAUAUAUAUAUAUAUAUAUAUAUACACACACACACAAACAAUUAAGCUAACAAUGUUUUACUCUAAUUUUUCAGCAGAAUAUACUUCUCUAGACUGUAUGAGAUGAAGGGAUGUAUUGUACCUCUUCUUCAUUUCUGCAGAAAAUCUGCUUCAAUUCCUCAUUUUGACAUUGCUGGUGUCUUUUCGUACAGGCUUUGACUUUGAGCUGGAAUAACAGGCAUAAAAUAGCUUCAGAAAACAUCACAAUGUUCAGUAUGACGUAUAAAACAAUCAGAGACUGCUGUGUCAUCUGAUGUUGUGACUGU